GAUGCCUGUUUAUCAUGUUACACCACCAAUCGUGAUGUGGCACAACAAGCUCAAAUUUCAUUGGAUAAUG